rnacentral:rRNA from 1 species
CCUACGGGGGGCUGCAGUGGGGAAUAUUGGACAAUGGGGGGAACCCUGAUCCAGCCAUGCCGCGUGUGUGAAGAAGGCCCUCGGGUUGUAAAGCACUUUCAGUGAGGAAGAACGCCUGGUGGUUAAUACCCAUCAGGAAAGACAUCACUCACAGAAGAAGCACCGGCUAACUCCGUGCCAGCAGCCGCGGUAAUACGGAGGGUGCGAGCGUUAAUCGGAAUUACUGGGCGUAAAGCGCGCGUAGGUGGCUUGAUAAGCCGGUUGUGAAAGCCCCGGGCUCAACCUGGGAACGGCAUCCGGAACUGUCAAGCUAGAGUGCAGGAGAGGAAGGUAGAAUUCCCGGUGUAGCGGUGAAAUGCGUAGAGAUCGGGAGGAAUACCAGUGGCGAAGGCGGCCUUCUGGACUGACACUGACACUGAGGUGCGAAAGCGUGGGUAGCAAACAGGAUUAGAUACCCAGUAGUC